GAUGAUACUUGCUGUUUCCAUUGUCUCUUGGGCUCAGGCUCAGUUUCAGGAGGGAGACUUCAGUGGGAGCUGAAGGCUGCAGCCCCAGAAUGGCUGAACCCAGGAAGCCAAGGCCUCGGCGGGCCACAGCAAGGUGCAGGCUCCUGGCCCCGAUGAAGCCACCACCUCCUCAGAGUGGCCACCUGCGCACUCAUGCUCCACCCAAGAGCAGGCUCCCGGGACCCUACCAACACUGACCUUGGGCUUUCUGGGAUUUUACAGAUGGGGUGGGGGAUACGGCUUGGAAAUCUUCAGAUUAAAAUUUUAAUUUGGAAUUGACAACAAUCAGCACCACCACUGAGUUUAAUUUUUUUAUGUGGUGAUUUUUAAUGAAAUACAUGUAACAUAAAAUUCACUACUUUAACUGCUACUAAGUAAGUGUACAGUGCAGUGGCAUUAAGUAGACUCACAUUGCAUACCCGAUGCACCGCCC
rnacentral:lncRNA from 1 species